rnacentral:rRNA from 1 species
CCUACGGUGUGCUGCAGUGAGGACUAUUGGUCAAUGGACGAGAGUCUGAACCAGCCAAGUAGCGUGAAGGCUGACUGCCCUAUGGGUUGUACACUUCUUUUAUAUGGGAAUAAAAUGUUCCACGUGUGGGAUUUUGUAUGUACCAUAUGAAUAAGGAUCGGCUAACUCCGUGCCAGCAGCCGCGGUAAUACGGAGGAUCCGAGCGUUAUCCGGAUUUAUUGGGUUUAAAGGGAGCGUAGGUGGAGUGUUAAGUCAGUUGUGAAAGGUUGCGGCUCAACCGUAAAAUUGCAGUUGAAACUGGCAGUCUUGAGUACAGUAGAGGUGGGCGGAAUUCGUGGUGUAGCGGUGAAAUGCUUAGAUAUCACGAAGAACUCCGAUUGCGAAGGCAGUUCACUGGACUGCAACUGACACUGAGGCUCGAAAGUGUGGGUAUCAAACAGGAUUAGAUACCCGGGUAGUC